GUCCACACGGUAAACGAUGGAUACUAGGUGUAAUUGGUUUCGACCCCAGUUGUGCCGUAGCUAACGCAUUAAGUAUCCCGCCUGGGGAGUAUGGCCGCAAGGUUGAAACUCAAAGGAAUUGACGGGGGCCCGCACAAGCGGUGGAGGAUGUGGUUUAAUUCGACGCAACGCGAAGAACCUUACCAAGGCUUGACAUAUACAGGAAUAUGGCAGAGAUGUCAUAGCCGCAAGGUCUGUAUACAGGUGGUGCAUGGUUGUCGU
rnacentral:rRNA from 1 species